rnacentral:sRNA from 1 species
UAGCGAAGGUAAACAUGAUGCUGGAUA